rnacentral:sRNA from 1 species
CUCAAGAUAUGUUCGACUAAGAACGCCACCUCGUGUGGCAACGUCGAACGACCCUGUGUCGUGCAGG